CCUACGGGGGGCAGCAGUGAGGAAUAUUGGUCAAUGGGCGCUAGCCUGAACCAGCCAAGUAGCGUGAAGGAUGACUGCCCUAUGGGUUGUAAACUUCUUUUAUAUGGGAAUAAAGUGCAGUAUGUAUACUGCUUUGCAUGUACCUUAUGAAUAAGGAUCGGCUAACUCCGUGCCAGCAGCCGCGGUAAUACGGAGGAUCCGAGCGUUAUCCGGAUUUAUUGGGUUUAAAGGGAGCGUAGGCGGGUUGUUAAGUCAGUUGUGAAAGUUUGCGGCUCAACCGUAAAAUUGCAGUUGAUACUGGCAGCCUUGAGUAGAGUAGAGGUAGGCGGAAUUCGUGGUGUAGCGGUGAAAUGCUUAGAUAUCACGAAGAACUCCGAUUGCGAAGGCAGCCUGCUGGACUGUAACUGACGCUGAUGCUCGAAAGUGUGGGUAUCAAACAGGAUUAGAUACCCCAGUAGUC
rnacentral:rRNA from 1 species